GAUGAACGCUAGCGGCAGGCCUAAUACAUGCAAGUCGAACGGUGUCUUCGGACAUAGUGGCGCACGGGUGCGUAACACGUAUGCAACCUACCUUACAUUGGGGGAUAGCCUUUCGAAAGGGAGAUUAAUACCGCUUAAGACAGUAGCUGGGCAUCCAGCAGUGGUUAAAGAUUUAUUGGUUUAAGCGGGGCAUUCGUGCAAUUAGCUAGUUGGUGAGGUAACGGCUCACCAAGGCAAUGAUUGGUAGGGGAACUGAGAGGUCAAUCCCCCACACUGGCACUGAGAUACGGGCCAGACUCCUACGGGAGGCAGCAGUAGGGAAUAUUGGGCAAUGGACGCAAGUCUGACCCAGCCAUGCCGCGUGCAGGAUGAAGGCGUUAUGCGUUGUAAACUGCUUUUAUACAGGAAGAAACGACUCUUGCGAGAGGCAUUGACGGUACUGUAUGAAUAAGCACCGGCUAACUCCGUGCCAGCAGCCGCCGUAAAAC
rnacentral:rRNA from 1 species